UAGGAACUCGGCAAAAUGCCCCCGUAACUUCGGGAGAAGGGGGGCCGGAUACGUUACAUGGCUUGCCCAUGGAAGCGUUGAUGGCCGCAGAGACCAGGCCCAAGCGACUGUUUACUAAAAACACAGGUCCGUGCGAAGAAGUAAUUCGAUGUAUACGGACUGACGCCUGCCCGGUGCUGGAACGUUAAGGGGACAGGUUAGCUGGUUUAGGCCGGCGAAGCUUUGAACUUAAGCGCCAGUAAACGGCGGUGGUAACUAUAACCAUCCUAAGGUAGCGAAAUUCCUUGUCGGGUAAGUUCCGACCUGCACGAAUGGCGUAACGACUUGGGCGCUGUCUCAACCAUGGACUCGGCGAAAUUGCAUUACGAGUAAAGAUGCUCGUUACGCGCAGCAGGACGGAAAGACCCCGGGACCUUUACUACAACUUGGUAUUGGUGGUCGGUACAACUUGUGUAGGAUAGGUGGGAGACUGUGAAGCUCGGACGCCAGUUCGGGUGGAGUCAUCGUUGAAAUACCACUCUGGUUGUUCUGGCUGUCUAACUUAGGUCCAUUAUCUGGAUCAGGGACAGUGCCUGGUGGGUAGUUUGACUGGGGCGGUCGCCUCCUAAAAGGUAACGGAGGCGCUCAAAGGUUCCCUCAGCCUGGUUGGCAAUCAGGUGUCGAGUGUAAGUGCACAAGGGAGCUUGACUGUGAGGCAGACAUGUCGAGCAGGGACGAAAGUCGGAACUAGUGAUCCGGCGGUUGCAUGUGGGAGCACCGUCGCUCAACGGAUAAAAGGUACCCCGGGGAUAACGGGCUGAUCUUCCCCAAGAGUCCAUAUCGACGGGAUGGUUUGGCACCUCGAUGUCGGCUCGUCGCAUCCUGGGGCUGGAGUAGGUCCCAAGGGUUGGGCUGUUCGCCCAUUAAAGCGGCACGCGAGCUGGGUUUAGAACGUCGUGAGACAGUUCGGUCCCUAUCCGCUGCGCGCGCAGGAGACUUGAGAAGGGCUGCCCCUAGUACGAGAGGACCGGGGUGGACGAACCUCUGGUGUGCCAGUUGUUCCGCCAGGAGCACGGCUGGUUGGCUACGUUCGGGAGUGAUAACCGCUGAAAGCAUCUAAGCGGGAAGCACGCUUCAAGAUGAGGUCUCCCACCGAGUUAAUCGGGUAAGGCCCCCAGUAGACCACUGGGUUGAUAGGCCAGAAGUGGAAGCACCGUAAGGUGUGGAGCUGACUGGUACUAAUAGGCCGAGGGCUUGUCUAA
rnacentral:rRNA from 1 species